rnacentral:lncRNA from 1 species
GAAGAUUAUGAUAUACUAGGGAGACCUGUUGAGAACUGCCUAUUUUUUUGCUGGUGAAGCUACCUGCAAGGAGCAUCCUGACACUGUUGGUGAUGCGAUGAUGAGUGGCCUCCGGGAGGCAGUGCGUAUAAUUGACAUACUGACUACUGGAAAUGAUUACACAGCAGAAGCAGACGCCAUUGCGGGUAUUCAGAGACAAUCAGAUUCGGAAAGGGCUGAAGUUAGACACAUAACAAGGAGACUUGAUGCAGUUGAACUUUCAUAUGUCCUUUACACGAACAAGGAGGCCCUACUCCAGGACAUGUUCUUUAAUGCAAAGACUACCAAAGGAAGGUUGCAUCUGGCCAAAGAGUUAUUGAGUCUUCCUGUUGAAACCUUGAAGUCCUUUGCUCGCACCAAAGAAGGGCUGACUACUCUCAACUCGUGGAUACUGGUAAUUCUGCAUCCAUAUUUAUCAUUGUUUAUACCAUAUUUAGGGCCUCGUAUUUAGAUCUCGUACAAAUACUCAGGGGACUUAAAUGUAAUUAUGGGAUAAAGGAAGGGGCAAAUAUGUAAUAGAGGAGGAGCCCCUUAUUCUAUAAAAGGGGACUCCUACCCUCAUUCUAGGGGGAGCCUCACUCUCAUCCUCAGAGGCCAAUUCCUAGGUCUCUCCUCAUCCCUCUCAAAGCUUCCUCACAUCCCCUAAGCUCUAAGCUCUCUCUUCCUCUUCAACAGAGAAAUACAAUACAAUCAGUGUGGACGUAGCCCAAACCUUGGGGUGAACCACGAUAACUCUUGUGUCAAUUACAUUUUAUGCAGAUUCACGGUCGGAUUUACGUUGUUCCAAGAUCUCCGGUUUUGUGCAUCAACAUUUGGCGCCGUCUGUGGGAAACGACACGAAAAGUUAUGUCGGUUCUCUCUCGAUUCUUCACCUCCACCGUGAAUCUGCAUAAACACCAAACCAAAAUCUCAGAUCUCGCUCUCUAGAAACCCAGAAAUGGGGCCAGCGAAAAAGCCCAACUGAGAAAUAAGGAGCCAUUCUUAAUCUCGCCAGCCCGAACUCACAACUUACAGCUCCAUGCUUCAGAAAAAUGAAGGUCCCCUGCUACCCUUCCGCGAAUUCUCAGUCUGAAAUCACAACUUGCAACUUUCAGUCUUCCAUCUCUCAGGCUGGCGAUUAUCGACAAAUUUCGCCAAACCCACCACCCAUGUCUACCACUACCACAGCAACAGCUGGUUCCACGAAUGCGCCAAGUGGUAUGAUCUCAACCGUCGCUUCAUUGUCUCCUCCAUAGACAGCGGAAGACAACGCGGUUUGUGCCCAAUCAUCACAAGCCGUAUGAUCAAAUCCCCCGACUCUUCUCGGCCCUCUAGAAGUUCGGCAAACCUGCACAGACCACCCCACCGUCUCAACCCGAACCCAAAUGCGAGCCCAAACCCGCAACUGGCAAACGCUUCAAUCGACUCCUUGUUCGAUCAGGCCACUCUGAUCUGCAAGAGCAUCGCGAGGAAGGUGUUCCUGCACGAAUCAUAUCAGGAAUACAAUUUCUGUACGAAACUAUGCCACAUCAAUUCGAAACCAUGAGUUUUGCUGCAACCACCAAACUCCUCUUCAAAGUCCUCUGCUAUGGCGAUUAUAUCAUUGUGGUCGGAGGUGGAGGGCCAAAGGUUCGACUCGGCAACCACAAAACUGACCAAUCCCGACGCCCCCUGCCUCUCCGAGCUCGUCCACCACUUCCUCCAAGACGACGAGUCGUCCGCCGCUGGUUUUCCCGAUAACGAGUCUGACUCGGACCAAGUCGACUCGGCCUCCGACGCGGACGCAAUCAACUCCAUCCUUAGGUCAGUGGCAUCUUCUGAAGCGCAAGAUUAGAGAACAAGGAUGUGAUCGACUCUAUCCUUAGGUCCGUGGCACCUUCACGUUCGGGAAGAAGGACACGUCGACGGAUCUGUACUCGAUCUGUUCAGUCAAACAGAACAAGAUUAGGAGCCAUGCAAUCGGGAAUCAGGAAGUUGCUAGUGGAAUCGAUGACGGACUUCGUUUCGAACAUGGUGGACAAGUCAGCGUACGCGCUGAGCGUCCCCGUAUCGGUAUUGGAGGCCUGCACGGCGUUGGUAGAGGAAGGCAGAAUUCCGGUGCAGGUGGAGAUCAUAGAGGCGGGGUCGCAGCGGCAGAAGGAGAUAUCAGUUGCGAUAUAUUGUUGCAGAUUUGUGAGAAUAGUGCUCCCAAAAUUUACUGGCACGUAACCUUCGAUUUUGUUAAAACCCAAAUCAAGGGCGACGAGCUCUCCACCGCCAUUGCGCUCCGGGAUCUCGACACCUGUCAGGUUGUUAUUCACCAAGUCAACUUGCUGGAUAGACGGGAGGAGAAAGAACUAGAGCAUCUGAAGUCUGAACUCUCUCUCUCCCUCCGCUGUCAACUCUCUUAGUCUCGCAGUCAACUCGGACAAGGGAAACAGCUAAGAAGCUUGUGGGCAUUUCAUUGCAUCCAUAACUAGCAAGAAUGAUGAUGUUGAAAAUAGAGCAAGCUUGUGCGAAUACUAUUGUUUUAUGCGCUGGAUCCCAUUGUUUUUUAUGAAGGAGAGAAACCGCCUGGUAGAGAGAUUCUAGAAACAUCUGCAAGAAAUCUCCUUCUCAGUGAUGGGACUAAAGUUGCUGUCAAGAACAAAGAAGGAGUGGAGACAGCGCAGGAGCCAGCAUUACACACCACUUGGCCUUACGGAUCAAGGACAGAGAAUGAGUGGAGAGAUAAAGAAUAGCAAAUGGUCAUUGAGGUGGGGUUUCUGAAGACAAAGACAUCGAGUGGGAGGCCACGUUCUUUACGUUAUUUACAUUUUUUACAGCUGGAGUACACCAGCUUGUGUUCAAACAGCAGAAACCAGGCUGAAAGAGAAAGGCAGUGGCGGACAAAGCAAAAAGAAAAGAGAAAGAAAAGGGAAAGUAAAAACAAAAGCAAGUGAGUGUGUCUGGAGGUGGAGAGAUCAAAGAAAGGAACAGAAAAGAAAAAGAUCAUGUUGUUGGGAGAAUAUUUCGGAAAGCAGAAAAGGAGAAAGCAAAAGGAAAAGCAGAAAAUGAAAAGAGAAAAGAAGAAAAGCAAAAGAUCUUCCUAUUAUUAUGAUUCCUUAUGUCUGCCAGAUAAAGAACCAAAGAGAGUGCAGCAGAAAAACACUGCAAAAGCAUGGAAUAAGCACCCCACCAGAAUGAUGUAAUUUAUUUUCCUUAUCUUUCGGACACAUCUGUAUAAACCCCAUCAGAGGGUAAAAUAAAAAAAAAAAAAAAAAAAAAAAAAAAAAAAAAAAAAAAAAAAAAAAAAGAAGAACAACGACAAGCCCAAAGUAAAUGGGCUGGAAUGUUGUGUAGAGGGCGAAAACCCAUAAGCCCAAAAUAGCUCCAACCAGACGAUCAAAAGUACGCCCAGUACUCCAAAUUAUACAUGAG